rnacentral:misc_RNA from 1 species
GAUGAAGAACGUAGCGAAAUGCGAUAAGUAAUGUGAAUUGCAGAAUUCAGUGAAUCAUCGAAUCUUUGAACGCACAUUGCGCCCGCCAGUAUUCUGGCGGGCAUGCCUGUUCGAGCGUCAUUACAACCCUCAGGCCCCCGGGCCUGGCGUUGGGGAUCGGCGGAAGCCCCCUGCGGGCACAACGCCGUCCCCCAAAUACAGUGGCGGUCCCGCCGCAGCUUCCAUUGCGUAGUAGCUAACACCUCGCAACUGGAGAGCGGCGCGGCCACGCCGUAAAACACCCAACUUUCUUAGAGUUGACCUCGGAUCAGGUAGGAAUACCCGCUGAACUUAAGCAUAUCAAUAAGCGGAGGA